GGAGGGGUGGCAGAGUGGUCGAUUGCGGUGGUUUUGAAAACCACUGUCCUUCACGGGACCGGGGGUUCGAAUCCCUCCCCCUCCGCCA
rnacentral:tRNA from 1 species